UACGUAGGGCGCGAGCGUUAAUCGGAAUUACUGGGCGUAAAGUGUGCGCAGGCGGCAGAGCAAGUCGAGUGUGAAAGCCCCGGGCUUAACUUGGGAAUUGCGCUCGAAACUACUUUGCUGGAGUGUGGCAGAGGAAGGUGGAAUUCCACGUGUAGCGGUGAAAUGCGUAGAGAUGUGGAGGAACACCAAUGGCGAAGGCAGCCUUCUGGGCCAACACUGACGCUCAUGCACGAACGCGUGGGGAGCAAACAGG
rnacentral:rRNA from 1 species